AGACGAACCGUCCAAACGUUAUUCGGUAUCACUGGGCUUAAAGAGUUCGUAGGCGGCCUGGUAGGUGAGAUGUGAAAUCCCACGGCUCAACCGUGGAACUGCGUUUCAAACCACCAGGCUUGAGGGAGAUAGAGGUGAGCGGAACAGAUGGUGGAGCGGUGAAAUGCGUUGAUAUUAUCUGGAACACCGGUGGCGAAAGCGGCUCACUGGAUCUCUUCUGACGCUGAGGAACGAAAGCUAGGGUAGCGAACGGGAUUAGAUACCCUAGUAGUCC
rnacentral:rRNA from 1 species